rnacentral:rRNA from 1 species
GACGAACGCUGGCGGCGUGCCUAACACAUGCAAGUCGAGCGAGUGAAUCUCCUUCGGGAGUGAAGCUAGCGGCGGACGGGUGAGUAACACGUGGGCAACCUGCCUCAUAGAGGGGAAUAGCCUUUCGAAAGGAAGAUUAAUACCGCAUAAGAUUGUAGCUUCGCAUGAAGUAGCAAUUAAAGGAGCAAUCCGCUAUGAGAUGGGCCCGCGGCGCAUUAGCUAGUUGGUGAGGUAACGGCUCACCAAGGCGACGAUGCGUAGCCGACCUGAGAGGGUGAUCGGCCACAUUGGGACUGAGACACGGCCCAGACUCCUACGGGAGGCAGCAGUGGGGAAUAUUGCACAAUGGGGGAAACCCUGAUGCAGCAACGCCGCGUGAGUGAUGACGGCCUUCGGGUUGUAAAGCUCUGUCUUCAGGGACGAUAAUGACGGUACCUGAGGAG